UCAGGACGAACGCUGGCGGCGUGCUUAACACAUGCAAGUCGAACGAUGAACCUGGAGCUUGCUCUAGGGAAUUAGUGGCGAACGGGUGAGUAACACGUGAGUAACCUGCCCUUGACUCUGGGAUAACCUCCGGAAACGGAAGCUAAUACCGGAUAUGACGCACGGAGGCAUCUCCUGUGCGUGGAAAGAACUUCGGUCAAGGAUGGACUCGCGGCCUAUCAGGUAGUUGGUGAGGUAACGGCUCACCAAGCCUACGACGGGUAGCCGGCCUGAGAGGGUGACCGGCCACACUGGGACUGAGACACGGCCCAGACUCCUACGGGAGGCAGCAGUGGGGAAUAUUGCACAAUGGGCGCAAGCCUGAUGCAGCAACGCCGCGUGAGGGACGACGGCCUUCGGGUUGUAAACCUCUUUUAGUAGGGAAGAAGCGAAAG
rnacentral:rRNA from 1 species